GCUGGCGUAGCAAAACCUGGAUAUGCUAAAGACUUAAGCACUUUUACACAGAGGUUCAACUCCUCUCGCCAANN
rnacentral:tRNA from 1 species